AAUCAACGCUGGCGGCGUGCCUAACACAUGCAAGUCGAACGCCAAAGCCCCGCAAGGGGUAAGUAGCGUGGCAAACGGGUGAGUAACACGUGGGCGACCUACCUCAGAGUGGGGGAUAACCUUCCGAAAGGGAGGCUAAUACCGCAUGACAUCCUAUGUUUGGAUACAUGGAGAUCAAAGCCGGGGAUCGCAAGACCUGGCGCUUGGAGAGGGGCCCGCGUCCGAUUAGCAGUUGGUGAGGUAACGGCUCACCAAGGCUUCGAUCGGUAUCCGGCCUGAGAGGGCGGACGGACACACUGGGACUGAGACACGGCCCAGACUCCUACGGGAGGCAGCAGUAAGGAAUAUUGGUCAAUGGACGCAAGUCUGAACCAGCCAUGCCGCGUGAAGGAUGAAGGUCCUCUGGAUUUGUAAACUUCUUUUAUGUGGGACGAAAUGCUAUUUUUUCUAAAGUUGUUUGACGGUACCAUAGGAAUAAGCACCGGCUAACUCUGUGCCAGCCGCCGC
rnacentral:rRNA from 1 species